GCACACGGAGGCCGCCCGCAAAGUCUGGGGCCAUUCCGAGUCCGGCGGACGAACUUCGCCCACGCCCCCCACCAAGGCUAUAGCCCACCCGUUUUUUGCCCAUUUUUCCGCUGGGGGGUCUUGGCGCCCCGACCUUCGGGGGCUGAAUUUUGGGCGCGGGUGUGCCCGUGGCCUAUUUUUGGCACACGGAGGCCGCCCGCAAACUCUGGGGCCAUUCCGAGUCCGGCGGACGAGCUUCGCCCACGCCCCCCACCAAGGCUAUAGCCCACCCGUUUUUUGGCCAUUUUUCCGCUGGGGGGUCUUGGCGCCCCGACCUUCGGGGGCUGAAUUUUGGGCGCGGGUGUGCCCGUGGCCUAUUUUUGGCACACGGAGGCCGCCCGCAAAGUCUGGGGCCAUUCCGAGUCCGGCGGACGAACUUCGCCCACGCCCCCCACCAAGGCUAUAGCCCACCCGUUUUUUGGCCAUUUUUCCGCUGGGGGGUCUUGGCGCCCCGACCUUCGGGGGCUGAUUUUUGGGCGCGGGUGUGCCCGUGGCCUAUUUUUGGCACACGGAGGCCGCCCGCAAAGUCUGGGGCCAUUCCGAGUCCGGCGGACGAGCUUCGCCCACGCCCCCCACCAAGGCUAUAGCCCACCCGUUUUUUGGCCAUUUUUCCGCUGGGGGGUCUUGGCGCCCCGACCUUCGGGGGCUGAAUUUUGGGCGCGGGUGUGCCCGUGGCCUAUUUUUGGCACACGGAGGCCGCCCGCAAAGUCUGGGGCCAUUCCGAGUCCGGCGGACGAACUUCGCCCACGCCCCCCACCAAGGCUAUAGCCCACCCGUUUUUUGGCCAUUUUUCCGCUGGGGGGUCUUGGCGCCCCGACCUUCGGGGGCUGAUUUUUGGGCGCGGGUGUGCCCGUGGCCUAUUUUUGGCACACGGAGGCCGCCCGCAAAGUCUGGGGCCAUUCCGAGUCCGGCGGACGAACUUCGCCCACGCCCCCCACCAAGGCUAUAGCCCACCCGUUUUUUGGCCAUUUUUCCGCUGGGGAGUCUUGGCGCCCCGACCUUCGGGGGCUGAAUUUUGGGCGCGGGUGUGCCCGUGGCCUAUUUUUGGCACACGGAGGCCGCCCGCAAAGUCUGGGGCCAUUCCGAGUCCGGCGGACGAACUUCGCCCACGCCCCCCACCAAGGCUAUAGCCCACCCGUUUUUUGGCCAUUUUUCCGCUGGGGGGUCUUGGCGCCCCGACCUUCGGGGGCUGAAUUUUGGGCGCGGGUGUGCCCGUGGCCUAUUUUUGGCACACGGAGGCCGCCCGCAAAGUCUGGGGCCAUUCCGAGUCCGGCGGACGAACUUCGCCCACGUCCCCCACCAAGGCUAUAGCCCACCCAUUUUUUGGCCAUUUUUCCGCUGGGGGGUCUUGGCGCCCCGACCUUCGGGGGCUGAAUUUUGGGCGCGGGUGUGCCCGUGGCCUAUUUUUGGCACACGGAGGCCGCCCGCAAAGUCUGGGGCCAUUCCGAGUCCGGCGGACGAACUUCGCCCACGUCCCCCACCAAGGCUAUAGCCCACCCAUUUUUUGGCCAUUUUUCCGCUGGGGGGUCUUGGCGCCCCGACCUUCGGGGGCUGAAUUUUGGGCGCGGGUGUGCCCGUGGCCUAUUUUUGGCACACGGAGGCCGCCCGCAAAGUCUGGGGCCAUUCCUAGUCCGGCGGACGAACUUCGCCCACGCCCCCUACCAAGGCUAUAGCCCACCCGUUUUUUGGCCAUUUUUCCGCUGGGGGGUCUUGGCGCCCCGACCUUCGGGGGCUGAAUUUUGGGCGCGGGUGUGCCCGUGGCCUAUUUUUGGCACACGGAGGCCGCCCGCAAAGUCUGGGGCCAUUCCGAGUCCGGCGGACGAGCUUCGCCCACGCCCCCCACCAAGGCUAUAGCCCACCCGUUUUUUGGCCAUUUUUCCGCUGGGGGGUCUUGGCGCCCCGACCUUCGGGGGCUUAAUUUUGGGCGCGGGUGUGCCCGUGGCCUAUUGUUGGCACACGGAGGCCGCCCGCAAAGUCUGGGGCCAUUCCGAGUCCGGCGGACGAACUUCGCCCACGUCCCCCACCAAGGCUAUAGCCCACCCAUUUUUUGGCCAUUUUUCCGCUGGGGGGUCUUGGCGCCCCGACCUUCGGGGGCUGAUUUUUGGGCGCGGGUGUGCCCGUGGCCUAUUUUUGGCACACGGAGGCCGCCCGCAAAGUCUGGGGCCAUUCCGAGUCCGGCGGACGAACUUCGCCCACGCCCCCCACCAAGGCUAUAGCCCACCCGUUUUUUGGCCAUUUUUCCGCUGGGGGGUCUUGGCGCCCCGACCUUCGGGGGCUGAUUUUUGGGCGCGGGUGUGCCCGUGGCCUAUUUUUGGCACACGGAGGCCGCCCGCAAAGUCUGGGGCCAUUCCGAGUCCGGCGGACGAGCUUCGCCCACGCCCCCCACCAAGGCUAUAGCCCACCCGUUUUUUGGCCAUUUUUCCGCUGGGGGGUCUUGGCGCCCCGACCUUCGGGGGCUGAUUUUUGGGCGCGGGUGUGCCCGUGGCCUAUUUUUUGCACACGGAGGCCGCCCGCAAAGUCUGGGGCCAUUCCGAGUCCGGCGGACGAACUUCGCCCACGCCCCCCACCAAGGCUAUAGCCCACCCGUUUUUUGGCCAUUUUUCCGCUGGGGGGUCUUGGCUCCCCGACCUUCGGGGGCUGAUUUUUGGGCGCGGGUGUGCCCGUGGCCUAUUUUUGGCACACGGAGGCCGCCCGCAAAGUCUGGGGCCAUUCCGAGUCCGGCGGACGAACUUCGCCCACGCCCCCCACCAAGGCUAUAGCCCACCCGUUUUUUGGCCAUUUUUCCGCUGGGGGGUCUUGGCGCCCCGACCUUCGGGGGCUGAAUUUUGGGCGCGGGUGUGCCCGUGGCCUAUUUUUGGCACACGGAGGCCGCCCGCAAAGUCUGGGGCCAUUCCGAGUCCGGCGGACGAACUUCGCCCACGCCCCCCACCAAGGCUAUAGCCCACCCGUUUUUUGGCCAUUUUUCCGCUGGGGGGUCUUGGCGCCCCGACCUUCGGGGGCUGAAUUUUGGGCGCGGGUGUUGCCCGUGGCCUAUUUUUGGCACACGGAGGCCGCCCGCAAAGUCUGGGGCCAUUCCGAGUCCGGCGGACGAACUUCGCCCACGCCCCCCACCAAGGCUAUAGCCCACCCGUUUUUUGGCCAUUUUUCCGCUGGGGGGUCUUGGCGCCCCGACCUUCGGGGGCUGAUUUUUGGGCGCGGGUGUGCCCGUGGCCUAUUUUUGGCACACGGAGGCCGCCCGCAAAGUCUGGGGCCAUUCCGAGUCCGGCGGACGAACUUCGCCCACGCCCCCCAUCAAGGCUAUAGCCCGCCCACCCGUUUUUUGGCCAUUUUUCCGCUGGGGGGUCUUGGCGCCCCGACCUUCGGGGGCUGAUUUUUGGGCGCGGGUGUGCCCGUGGCCUAUUUAUGGCACACGGAGGCCGCCCGCAAAGGCUGGGGCCAUUCCGAGUCCGGCGGACGAGCUUCGCCCACGCCCCCCACCAAGGCUAUAGCCCACCCUUUUUUUGGCCAUUUUUCCGCUGGGGGGUCUUGGCGCCCCGACCUUCGGGGGCUGAUUUUUGGGCGCGGGUGUGCCCGUGGCCUAUUUUUUGCACACGGAGGCCGCCCGCAAAGUCUGGGGACAUUCCGAGUCCGGCGGACGAACUUCGCCCACGCCCCCCACCAAGGCUAUAGCCCACCCGUUUUUUGGCCAUUUUUCCGCUGGGGGGUCUUGGCUCCCCGACCUUCGGGGGCUGAUUUUUGGGCGCGGGUGUGCCCGUGGCCUAUUUUUGGCACACGGAGGCCGCCCGCAAAGUCUGGGGCCAUUCCGAGUCCGGCGGACGAGCUUCGCCCACGCCCCCCACCAAGGCUAUAGCCCACCCGUUUUUUGGCCAUUUUUCCGCUGGGGGGUCUUGGCGCCCCGACCUUCGGGGGCUGAAUUUUGGGCGCGGGUGUGCCCGUGGCCUAUUUUUGGCACACGGAGGCCGCCCGCAAAGUCUGGGGCCAUUCCGAGUCCGGCGGACGAACCUCGCCCACGCCCCCCACCAAGGCUAUAGCCCACCCGUUUUUUGGCCAUUUUUCCGCUGGGGGGUCUUGGCGCCCCGACCUUCGGGGGCUGAUUUUUGGGCGCGGGUGUGCCCGUGGCCUAUUUUUGGCACACGGAGGCCGCCCGCAAAGUCUGGGGCCAUUCCGAGUCCGGCGGACGAACUUCGCCCACGCCCCCCACCAAGGCUAUAGCCCACCCGUUUUUUGGCCAUUUUUCCGCUGGGUGGUCUUGGCGCCCCGACCUUCGGGGGCUGAAUUUUGGGCGCGGGUGUGCCCGUGGCCUAUUUUUGGCACACGGAGGCCGCCCGCAAAGUCUGGGGCCAUUCCGAGUCCGGCGGACGAACUUCGCCCACGCCCCCCACCAAGGCUAUAGCCCACCCGUUUUUUGGCCAUUUUUCCGCUGGGGGGUCUUGGUGCCCCGACCUUCAGGGGCUGAAUUUUGGGCGCGGGUUUGCCCGUGGCCUAUUUUUGGCACACGGAGGCCGCCCGCAAAGUCUGGGGCCAUUCCGAGUCCGGCGGACGAACUUCGCCCACGCCCCCCACCAAGGCUAUAGCCCACCCGUUUUUUGGCCAUUUUUCCGCUGGGGGGUCUUGGCGCCCCGACCUUCGGGGGCUGAAUUUUGGGCGCGGGUGUGCCCGUGGCCUAUUUUUGGCACACGGAGGCCGCCCGCAAAGUCUGGGGCCAUUCCGAGUCCGGCGGACGAACUUCGCCCACGCCCCCCACCAAGGCUAUAGCCCACCCGUUUUUUGGCCAUUUUUCCGCUGGGGGGUCUUGGCGCCCCGACCUUCGGGGGCUGAUUUUUGGGCACGGCUGUGCCCGUGGCCUAUUUUUGGCACACGGAGGCCGCCCGCAAAGUCUGGGGCCAUUCCGAGUCCGGCGGACGAACUUCGCCCACGCCCCCCACCAAGGCUAUAGCCCACCCGUUUUUUGGCCAUUUUUCCGCUGGGGGGUCUUGGCGCCCCGACCUUCGGGGGCUGAUUUUUGGGCGCGGGUGUGCCCGUGGCCUAUUUUUGGCACACGGAGGCCGCCCGCAAAGUCUGGGGCCAUUCCGAGUCCGGCGGACGAACUUCGCCCACGCACCCCACCAAGGCUAUAGCCCACCCGUUUUUUGGCCAUUUUUCCGCUGGGGGGUCUUGGCGCCCCGACCUUCGGGGGCUGAUUUUUGGGCGCGGCUGUGCCCGUGGCCUAUUUUUGGCACACGGAGGCCGCCCGCAAAGUCUGGGGCCAUUCCGAGUCCGGCGGACGAACUUCGCCCGCGCCCCCCACCAAGGCUAUAGCCCCCCG
rnacentral:lncRNA from 1 species